UACGUAGGGGGGCUAGCGUUGUCCGGAAUCAUUGGGCGUAAAGAGCGUGUAGGCGGUCCGGUAAGUCCGCUGUGAAAGUCGGGGGGCUCAACCCUCGAAUGCCGGUGGAUACUGUCGGGCUAGAGUGCGGAAGAGGCGAGUGGAAUUCCUGGUGUAGCGGUGAAAUGCUUAGAUAUGACAUAGAAUACCUAUUGCGAAGGCAGCUUACUACGCAGAUAUUGACGCUCAUGCACGAAAGCGUGGGGAUCAAACAGG
rnacentral:rRNA from 1 species